GGGAAGAGUAUUUACCCGCUAAUCUCUUUAUUCCCUCGCCUGACAAAAUAUCUGCAUUCCUGGGCGGCCUCAAGAAAUGAACUACAGACAUCUAUUCCCUUUGUGAUACCUCCUUGGAAUCAAAGUGUGGAGUGUAACAAUGUGCCUCCACACACUCACACUAGUUGAUGCUUCAUCUUGGUGAAAUCAAGUUUUUGGAAUUACCUUUCCUAAGAUCAUUCUAUUCACAGAGAAGGAGCUUAAUGAAUUGUCCAAGAACAAGAAGAAGAAUGAAUGACAAAAACAUAACUACCAUUUCAGACGACCGUGAAAUCCAUGAUUCCAAACUAUAUAAUGCAGGGAAGAAUUACCCUAAGUAAUAAAGGCUGGACAAGGUCAUUGGCUGGGAUUAUUUUGAAAAUAUUUAAUAAAAAGAACGCCUCAGGAAUUAACCAAUUGGAACAGAUUUUGUGGCU
rnacentral:lncRNA from 1 species